rnacentral:rRNA from 1 species
GCAUAUCAAUAAGCGGAGGAAAAGAAACCAACAGGGAUUGCCCUAGUAACGGCGAGUGAAGCGGCAACAGCUCAAAUUUGAAAUCUGGCUCUCGGGCCCGAGUUGUAAUUUGUAGAGGAUACUUUUGAUGCGGUGCCUUCCGAGUUCCCUGGAACGGGACGCCAUAGAGGGUGAGAGCCCCGUCUGGUUGGAUGCCAAAUCUCUGUAAAGUUCCUUCGACGAGUCGAGUAGUUUGGGAAUGCUGCUCUAAAUGGGAGGUAUAUGUCUUCUAAAGCUAAAUACCGGCCAGAGACCGAUAGCGCACAAGUAGAGUGAUCGAAAGAUGAAAAGCACUUUGAAAAGAGAGUUAAAAAGUACGUGAAAUUGUUGAAAGGGAAGCGUUUAUGACCAGACUUGGGCUUGGUUAAUCAUCUGGGGUUCUCCCCAGUGCACUUUUCCAGUCCAGGCCAGCAUCAGUUUUCCCCGGGGGAUAAAGACUUCGGGAAUGUGGCUCUCUUCGGGGAGUGUUAUAGCCCGUUGUGUAAUACCCUGGGGGGGACUGAGGUUCGCGCAUCUGCAAGGAUGCUGGCGUAAUGGUCAUCAACGACCCGUCUUGAAACACGGACCAAGGAGUCGUCUUCGUAUGCGAGUGUUCGGGUGUCAAACCCCUACGCGUAAUGAAAGUGAACGCAGGUGAGAGCUUCGGCGCAUCAUCGACCGAUCCUGAUGUUCUCGGAUGGAUUUGAGUAAGAGCAUACGGGGCCGGACCCGAAAGAAGGUGAACUAUGCCUGUAUAGGGUGAAGCCAGAGGAAACUCUGGUGGAGGCUCGCAGCGGUUCUGACGUGCAAAUCGAUCGUCAAAUAUGGGCAUGGGGGCGAAAGACUAAUCGAACCUUCUAGUAGCUGGUUUCCGC